GUGGGGAAUAUUGGGCAAUGGGGGCAACCCUGACCCAGCGACGCCGCGUGAGGGAAGAAGGCCUUAGGGUCGUAAACCUCUGUUGUGUGGGAAGAAGGAAGUGACGGUACCACACGAGGAAGUCCCGGCUAACUACGUGCCAGCAGCCGCGGUAAUACGUAGGGGACGAGCGUUGUCCGGAAUUACUGGGCGUAAAGGGCGCGUAGGCGGUCAUUUAAGUCAGCUGUGAAAUGGUCCGGCUCAACCGGAUCAUGCGGUUGAAACUGGAUGACUGGUGUGCUGGAGAGGCAAGUGGAAUUCCCAGUGUAGCGGUGAAAUGCGUAGAUAUUGGGAAGAACACCGGUGGCGAAGGCGACUUGCUGGCCAGCAACUGACGCUGAGGCGCGAAAGCCAGGGGAGCAAACGGGAUUAGAAACCCGAGUAGUCC
rnacentral:rRNA from 1 species